UUUCCAAACACCAUAUUAGUCUAUAAAGCACUUUAUAACAAGGUUUACAAAGCCCCAACCUUUCAAGCCACUUAAUUUACUUAAUCACAACACUUUAAAUAAUGGAAACUUAUAAGCAUUUGCUUGUAUUUUUUUUUCAUAUUUACUUACACAUAUUCUUAAACUCUCUAAACAUGUUAUCGCAAGAAAAGUAUGAAUAUCCAAUUAUUGGAUGCAUAAAUACUUAAAAUCAAGCUUCCAAGUAAUUGGAUCUAUCCUCUCCCUAACUUGAGAAUCCAAAAUCCCACCAUUCCUCAUGUUCUCACAAACAAAGAUACAAGGACCUAAGCUUUCCAAGCUUUUACUUAACAACCAAUAUUAAAUAAUAAGUUAUGAGAGAUGGAAAUCACCAUAUCUUACCUCAUUGAAAUUUUCUCUUAGUAGCUUCAACUUUCUCUCUAAGACUCAACCAUACCCUUGGUGAAAAUAGAGAGAUUAAAGGUGGAAAUGAGUUUUGGAGAUGAGUUUCCAAGUGAUUUUGACAAAAAUUCAAGGUUUGGGUGUUAGGUUUUGGAGAAAUCUUAAGAAAAAGCAUGAAAAAUGUAAAAAGAAUGAGAGAACCUCCAUAAGAGAAGGUUGGUU
rnacentral:lncRNA from 1 species